GUUGCUUUAUGAUGACCUUGAUAAACCUUCAUCUCUUUGCCAGUUGACAUGGACCAGAGUCUUGCAGUGGUAUCGGAAGAAGCUGUUAUAAGAUAGGCACCAUCUACUGAGAAGACGCAGUCCCACACCCAGCGUUGGUGUCCUAUAAGUGUCUUUUCUAACGUGAAACCGUCCACAUUCCAGAUUUUGACAGUGCUGUCAGAAGAUGCAGUGGCAAGGUAUCGGUGGGGUUCACAGAAUUCAGGUGAAAGAAGACACUUGAGAAUGUAUCCCUUGUGUGCUUGAAGUUUAUGAAGUGGCUCAAAGUUUGUCAUCGUCUGAAAGAGAAAAAUGAAUUACACUAUUUGAAUUGUACAGCAGAACAAUAAUUAG
rnacentral:misc_RNA from 1 species